rnacentral:rRNA from 1 species
GACGAACGCUGGCGGCAUGCCUAACACAUGCAAGUCGAACGAGACCUUCGGGUGUUGUGGCGCCAGGGUGCGUAACGCGUGGGAACCUGCCCUUAGGUUCGGAAUAACUCCCCGAAAGGGGUGCUAAUACCGGAUAAUGUCUUAGGACCAAAGAUUUAUCACCUUUGGAUGGGCCCGCGUUGUAUUAGCUAGUUGGUAGGGUAAAAGCCUACCAAGGCGACGAUCCAUAGCUGGUCUGAGAGGAUGAUCAGCCACACUGGGACUGAGACACGGCCCAGACUCCUACGGGAGGCAGCAGUGGGGAAUAUUGGACAAUGGGCGAAAGCCUGAUCCAGCAAUGCCGCGUGAGUGAUGAAGGCGUUAGGGUUGUAAAGCUCUUUUACCCGGGAUGAUAAUGACAGUACCGGGAGAAUAAGCGACGGCUAACUCCGUG